UGUUGCUAAAUUUUUUUGGCUCAGUAUAUGUGGCUGUGAACUUCAAAAUUCGUUAAGUAGAAUAACCGAUGCUCCAAAAAACAAAGACAUAAAUGCACGUGGCGUUUAUCUUAUUUUGGUUUAGUUAAGUUUACGUAAUGUUUGUUGUGUAGCCAUAUCUGCUUGAAAUAUAUUCCAUAAUGAAAUUACUUCGCAUCCAUAAUCUUAGAAGACACAAAAAUGAAUUUCAAAAAUUUUACGGUAUCAAUCUUGUACAAGUAUACAUUAUAAUCAAAUCAG
rnacentral:lncRNA from 1 species